rnacentral:rRNA from 1 species
GAUGAACGCUGGCGGCGUGCCUAUAAAUGCAAGUCGAGCGAAAAAGUGGAGGGCUUGCUUCUCUGGACGUUACCGCGGACGGGGGAGGUACCCCUGGGUAAACUACCUUUUAAACCGGGAUAAAUUCCGGAAAACGGGGCCAAUUACGGGAAAUAUAUUGAACCGCCAGGGUUAAUUGUGAAAAGAGGGUUUUGCGUUCACUAAUGAAGGAAUCCGGGCCGCAUUAGCUAGUUGGUAAGGUAACGGCUUACCAAGGCAACGAUGCGUAGCCGACCUGAGAGGGUGAUCGGCCACACUGGAACUGAGACACGGUCCAGACUCCUACGGGAGGCAGCAGUAGGGAAUCUUCCGCAAUGGGCGAAAGCCUGACGGAGCAACGCCGCGUGAGUGAUGAAGGCCUUCGGAUCGUAAAACUCUGUUAUUAGGGAAGAACAAAUGUGUAAGUAACUAUGCACGUCUUGACGGUACCUAAUCAGAAAGCCACGGCUAACUACGUG